AAGGACACAUUUAAAUCUGAAUUUCAGAUAAACAAUGAAUUAAUUUUUAGUAUAAGCAUAUCCUAAAUGCAAUAUUUGGGAUAUACUUAUACUAAAAAUAUUUCAUUACUUAUCUGAAAUUCAGAUUUAACUGGGCUUCAUGUA
rnacentral:miRNA from 1 species